CAGAAAUCAACAUUCACACAAUCCUAUUCCUGCUCUGAGUCACCUUAUUAUGCUGGAAACUCAAGUCAUGCACAUUACAAAGAAGAAAAAUUUUCCAACCUCUUUUUCACGAUUGCUGUGGUUUGAAUGAUGGCGUGCCCUCCAAAUUUAUGCUGAAACCUAAUCCCUAAUGUAAUAAUAGUAAGAGGUGUGGCCUUUGAGAGGUGAUUAGGAGACUUUGCCCUCAUGAAUGAGAUUAGCACCCUUGUGAAAAGGCUUAGGGUUAAAGGAAGUGCUCUCUUGCCCUUCUAUUCCUUCUACCACGUGAGGAAACAGUGUUCUUCCCCUCUGGAGCCUGCAGCAACAAGGCGACAUCUUGGAAGCAGAGAACAGCCCUCACCAGACAUCAAUUCUAUUCAGGGGGUACAUUUGCAGGUUUGCUACCCAAGUAGACUUCAUGAUCCUGAAGUUUGGAGUACAUCACCCAGAUACAGAGCAAAACAGGUACCAUCCCUUUUUCAUGUUGUGCCUUUCAUGACUCCCAAUAUUUAGUAGGCUCACAGUUGUCUACUUGAAAAUGUUCAUUAGUUGUAUUUAAGCUAUUAGGUACUCAAAAUACUAAAAAUCCAUUGCUUCUAUAUUUCAUUGAAAUGUUACAACUGUUUUAUUCCCAUGAACAGUACCAAAAAAAUAGAAGAGACAUCAACACUAGAUUGUCUACAGAAAUCAUUCAUGUUCUACUCAUGACAAGAGAGGCAAUUUCUUUUCUGGUUGUGUAGCCAAAGUCAGU
rnacentral:lncRNA from 1 species